CAACAAUUUUCAAAAUGGCAUCUAAUUCUCUUCAUUGACCAGCAAACAGCAUCAUGAGUGCGGAGAUGUCUCUUAAAGUUCUUUUUCAGCUGCUUUCUCCCACAAAUCUCACAAGUCAUGUAUCUGUGGCAUGACUGGAUGUGGUCCUUAAGGCAUUGAGCAUUGGAAAAAUGUUUCAUACAGCCUGGUUCUGCACAGAAUGCCUCCACUGAUUCCAGCUUAACAUGGGAAUCCUCAUGUUUUCGCAGCCUUGAAGGGUAUCUAAACACCUNNNNNNNNNGACAAACACGCUGCUUCUGACCACAUUUAGCAGAGGGGGAAUCCUCACUGUGAAGUUCUUUAACAUGCCUUUUCACAUUGCCUUGGAAAACAAAUUCA
rnacentral:misc_RNA from 1 species